rnacentral:rRNA from 1 species
UACGGAGGGCGCAAGCGUUGUUCGGAAUUACUGGGCGUAAAGCGCGUGUAGGCGGCCAGGUAAGUCGGAUGUGAAAGCCCGGGGCCCAACCCCGGAACUGCACCCGAUACUGCCUGGCUGGAGUCCCGGAGAGGAUGGCGGAAUUUCCGGUGUAGAGGUGAAAUUCGUAGAUAUGGGGUGGAACACCGGUGGCGAAGGCGGCCAUCUGGACGGUAACUGACGCUGAGACGCGAAAGCGUGGGGAGCAAACAGG